UUUAUUGUUGAUGGUUUGCAUUAUGGAGUUUCAGACUUCCCGUAUGCUGCUUAUUCCAUGGUAUGCUUUUUUUUAGACAUGAAUAUAAAAUUACAUAUUUGCCCUUGGAUUAAUAUGUUUUCACUGUAGAUGCUUGUUGGGAUUUUAUCGUCUGUAAUUGCAACUUGUUAUGAGAUGGCCAAAACCAUUGCAUUUUGCAAUAGUUGAUGAACUUGAUUAUGUCCUAAUUGAUGAGGGAAGAAACCCAUUGCUGAUAAGGGGUGAGGCUAGCAAGGAUGCUGCACGUAACACAGUUGCUGCUAAAGUAGCUGAGCUUCUCAUGCGUGGCCUCGUAUUUUACUUUUUUGCCCUUCUUUUUCCUUUUUGAUGUCUUGUUAUCCAUCUCCAUUGUAUGCGUAUCUCAUUGUUUGUUCCACUACACAUCAUGUAAAUUUAUAUAUUGUAACAAAUAGAAUUGUAAGACAUUAAAUUUUAUGAAAUGGAUUAUAUUUUUUGUA